GAUAUAUAACAAAAGUGGCACCAUAAAUCAAGGAAGGAAGGAGCAAACUUUUUAGUAGAUGGCAUUGGGAAAACUGGCUUUGCACUGUAUACAAUAACAAACAAACAAACUGGCCCCCUACCCUUGACCAUUACAAAGGUGGAUUCCAGAGGAGGAUUUAGUUAUGAAAGAACUAAAUCUGAAAGGUGAAAGCAUAGCAUAACCUUGUGAUCUAGAGAUGGAGAAGAUACCUCUUAAACAUUACUUUUUAUUUUCAAUGCAACAAAUCCCCAUUUCUGGUGAGAAAAUCUUGCCAAAACCAACCAAGCAAAUGUAUAAAAGUCCCUAAGCCCAAACUGGAUUUUGCCUCAUUUUCUAAGAUGCAAAGGAAAUGGUAAAAGUUGAUCAAAGGAGAGGGCAGAGAAAGAAAGAGGACGACUCCUCCCUCUCAGGUCCACCUUCCCCGGUGUUGCUUGAGGGAUCAGAGGAAAUGCAUGAACACAGGUGCGUGGGAACUACGGCUGCUCUGUGAACUCAGUGCCCUCCAGUUAUGAGCUAUUGUGAGGUUCCAUGAUGGAAUGGUGAGCGCUUUGGACUCUGAGUACAGUGAUCAGCGUUCAAGUCUCAGUGGGACCUUUCUGUAUAAUGCCAAUGAUAUUCCUAUUGCUCCCUAAGCGGAAUGGGGGAAAUUGCCCCAGUCAUGGUCACCCACCCUCCAGGCCACUCACUGGCUGUGUGCAAUUGGAGUCCUAGACCCAGCGACCCAGCAAGACCCCUCCCCUCUCAGGGCGACCCUGGGCCUCCAGGUGACAGGUCUCCUCCACUGAAAAGGCUGCCUCCCCUCAAUCCUAGACCCCGAGUUUUCUUUUAUUCAUGUCAUUGGGCCAUUGCCCUGUGUCUCUUUGGAAGAAAUGACCUAUAUGAAAAGCUUUACUUCCGGGAUUCCCUAAUUCCUUCAUCCCUGAGGACGGCGCAGUUUUUCAGCUCCUGGUCUUGGCUCCAGUUCUAAUGCGCACGUUUCAUUUUGUUGUCAUGGGAUCCCCUUCAAUGGGCUACCAGUGGAUUCCUGUCCUUGGGGUCUCUGUGGACGGCAACCAGAUGCUGCUCUUGUCCCAGAUCCUGACACCUCUCUCCAGGGAAUUGCCUCCCUUAGCCUUCUAAAUCAGGCAAUAUUUAGAUUUGGGCCUGGGAUCGCAGCAACUGUGGAGAACAGAGGUUCCCGAUCCCUGGCCAGCUCUCCCACAGUGAAGGGGAGAGGAGCACAGCAGCUGGGAGGGGCAAGUCUGGGGUCCUGGGCAACCCCCUUCUUCCUGCCCAGACUCUGCUCCAAGGAGCAGUUGCCUUAGGACCAGACCAGAUGGAAACUCUUUUGUUCUCUUCUCAUCAGCAGAAAAAUUUAGGCAAAGAGCUCUGGAGGACGUUCCUAGCUCCUAAAA
rnacentral:lncRNA from 1 species